rnacentral:rRNA from 1 species
CCUACGGGUGGCAGCAGUGGGGAAUAUUGGUCAAUGGGCGCUAGCCUGACCCAGCAACGCCGCGUGAAGGAAGAAGGCCCUCGGGUUGUAAACUUCUUUUUUCAGGGACGAAGCAAGUGACGGUACCUGAGGUAUAAGCCACGGCUAACUAUGUGCCAGCAGCCGCGGCAAUACGGAGGCGGCAAGCGUUAUCCGGAUUUACUGGGUGUAAAGGGCGUGUAGGCGGGUACGCAAGUCAGAUGUGAAAACCACGGGCUCAACCUGUGGACUGGAUUUGAUACUGUGUUUCUUGAGUACUGGAGAGGCAGACGGAAUUCGUGGUGUAGCGGUGAAAUGCGUAGAUAUUAGGAAGAACACCAGUGGCGAAGGCGGCCUGCUGGACAGCAACUGACGCUGAGGCGCGAAAGCGUGGGGAGCAAACAGGAUUAGAUACCCGAGUAGUC